rnacentral:lncRNA from 1 species
AAAACCCAAUAGAGAUCCAACUUAUUACCAUGGAGACUCCUAUGGCUUCUCUUCAUUGUCUGUAUCCUCUGAUCUUCUUCUUCUGCAAAAUCUAUUUUAUAAACUUGUAUUUAUCAUAUGCUAUCAUCUUCAUAGUAAGACAUCGGUUAUCUUUGUUCUAUAUUCUUAAUGACAAUGAUUUAAUCCAAUUGAGUUCUGUAACGGUACCGGCUUUACAUCAGUGGUCAGAAGAGCAGCCGGCGAUUCGAAACAGACAGUUGCAUCCAACAGAGAUUUGCCGGGAUUAAUCAUCUCCCCGUCAUAACUUUCGUCUCCAUCACGGAUUCAAUAAGCAUCCUCUGGAACAGAAUGCCAUUUGUGAAUCAUAUCCACAGUUUCCGGAAUCUAUAUACUGGUCCACGCUGAAGCUACCUCCUCCUACGCCGGAAAUUUCUCAGAGAAAUCUGUUGCCGUAAAAUCCGACCAUUUAGAACGAUGAUCGAUUCAACGAUCAUGUUAUCGACUGGAUAUCCAAACCAUUUUCUUAGAUAUUGCCAUACCACCACAGCUUAAGUGACCGUCG